ACAGUGGACGCGAGCAUCUUUGUUGUAAGUGUUUAAGAGCGUACGGUGGAUGCCUUGGCACCAGGAGCCGAUGAAGGACGUAGGAGGCUGCGAUAAGCCUCGGGGAGCUGUCAACCGAGCUGAGAUCCGAGGAUGUCCGAAUGGGGAAACCCAGCCACAGUGAUGUGUGGUUACCCGCGCCUGAAUAUAUAGGGCGUGAGGAGGGAACGUGGGGAAGUGAAACAUCUCAGUACCCACAGGAAGAGAAAACAACAUGUGAUUCCGUGAGUAGUGGCGAGCGAAAGCGGAAGAGGCUAAACCAUGGGUGUGUGAUAGCCGGCGGGCGUUGCAUUCGUGGGGUUGUGGGAUCCGUCUUGUCAAUUCUGCCGGAUUGGCCGACAGUGAGAAAUCAUCGUGUUAGUCGAAGUGGUCUGGAACGGCCUGUCGUAGAGGGUGAGAGUCCCGUAGACGAAAACAUGGUGACUGUCGUGACGGACACCCGAGUAGCAGCGGGCCCGUGAAAUCUGCUGUGAAUCUGUCGGGACCACCCGAUAAGCCUGAAUACUCCCUGGUGACCGAUAGCGGACUAGUACCGUGAGGGAAAGGUGAAAAGUACCCCGGGAGGGGAGUGAAAUAGUACCUGAAACCGUGCGCUUACAAUCCGUCAGAGCCUGCGCCACUUCGGUGGGUGGGUGAUGGCGUGCCUUUUGAAGAAUGAGCCUGCGAGUUAGCGGCAUGUCGCGAGGUUAACCCGUGUGGGGUAGCCGUAGCGAAAGCGAGUCCGAAUAGGGCGUUUGUAGUGGCAUGUUCUAGACCCGAAGCGGAGUGAUCUACCCAUGGCCAGGGUGAAGCGACGGUAAGACGUCGUGGAGGCCCGAACCCACUUAGGUUGAAAACUGAGGGGAUGAGCUGUGGGUAGGGGUGAAAGGCCAAUCAAACUCCGUGAUAGCUGGUUCUCCCCGAAAUGCAUUUAGGUGCAGCGUCGCGUGUUUCACUCUGGAGGUAGAGCUACUGGAUGGCCGAUGGGCCCCACAAGGUUACUGACGUCAGCCAAACUCCGAAUGCCAGAGUGUGAGAGCGCGGCAGUGAGACUGCGGGGAUAAGCUUCGUAGUCGAGAGGGAAACAGCCCAGAUCGCCGGCUAAGGCCCCUAAGCGUGUACUAAGUGGAAAAGGAUGUGGGGUCGCGAAGACAACCAGGAGGUUGGCUUAGAAGCAGCCACCCUUGAAAGAGUGCGUAAUAGCUCACUGGUCAAGUGAUCCUGCGCCGACAAUGUAGCGGGGCUCAAGUACACCGCCGAAGCCGCGGCAUUCACAUAACACCCAUGCGGGUCUACGGGCCUGUGUGCAGUGGUGUGGAUGGGUAGGGGAGCGUCGUGCAGCCAUGGAAGCGCCGGAGUGAUCCAGGUGUGGAGGCUGCACGAGUGAGAAUGCAGGCAUGAGUAGCGAAAGACGAGUGAGAAACUCGUCCGCCGAAUGACCAAGGGUUCCUGGGCCAGGUUAAUCCGCCCAGGGUGAGUCGGGACCUAAGGCGAGGCCGACAGGCGUAGUCGAUGGACAACGGGUUGAUAUUCCCGUACCCGUGUGAAACGCGCCCUGGUGAAUCAGUGAUGCUAAGCGCCCUGAAGCCGCCUUCGAACCUUCGGGUUCUCCGGUGUGUGGAUGCGCGUGAACCGAUCUGGUAGUAGCCAAGCGAUGGGGUGACGCAGGAAGGUAGCUGAGCCAGUCAGUGGUAAUACUGGUGUAAGCGUGUAGGGCGUGACCUAGGCAAAUCCGGGUCACAUACAGCCUGAGACGUGAUGCGUAGCCGAUUGAGGCGAAUUCAGUGAUCCUAUGCUGCCGAGAAAAGCCUCUAGCGAGCUUUCACACGGCCCGUACCCCAAACCGACACAGGUGGUCAGGUAGAGAAUACUAAGGCGAUCGAGAUAACUGUGGUUAAGGAACUCGGCAAAAUGCCCCGUAACUUCGGGAGGGGGGGCCUCGUCUGGUGACGGAACUUGCUUCCUGAGCUGGGUGGGGCCGCAGAGACCAGAGAGAAGCGAGUUUACUAAAAACACAGGUCCGUGCGAAGUCGUAAGACGAUGUAUACGGACUGACGCCUGCCCCGGUGCUGGAAGGGUUAAGAGGACCGGUUAGCCAGUAAUGGCGAAGCUGAGAAUUUAAGCCCCAGUAAACGGCGGUGGUAACUAUAACAUCCUAAGGUAGCGAAAUUCCUUGUCGGGUAAGUUCCGACCUGCACGAAUGGCGUAACGACUUCUCUGCUGUCUCAACCACAGACUCGGCGAAAUUGCAUUACGAGUAAAGAUGCUCGUUACGCGCGGCAGGACGAAAAGACCCCGGGACCUUCACUAUAGCUUGGUAUUGGUGUUCGGUUCGGUUUGUGUAGGAUAGGUGGGAGACUGUGAAGCGGGCACGCCAGUGUUCGUGGAGUCGUUGUUGAAAUACCACUCUGAUCGUAUUGGACAUCUAACCUCGGACCAUGAUCUGGUUCAGGGACAGUGCCUGGUGGGUAGUUUAAUGGGGCGGUUGCCUCCCAAAAUGUAACGGAGGCGCCCAAAGGUUCCUCAGCCUGGUUGGCAAUCAGGUGUCGAGUGCAAGUGCACAAGGGAGCUUGACUGUGAGACU
rnacentral:rRNA from 1 species